AGAAGCCACUAUGGACAGAACACAAGGCACCUGAUGGUAGGACCUACUACUACAACAACAUAACCAAACAGUCAAGCUGGGAGAAGCCGGACGACAUGAAAUCCAAGGCUGAGUUACAACUGUCGCAGUGUCCCUGGAAGGAGUAUAAAUCUGACACAGGCAAGGUCUACUACCAUAAUGCCCUUACUAAAGAGUCGAAGUGGACCAAGCCCAAGGACCUCGAGGAACUGGAAGAAAUUGUUAAAGGUGAAGCAAAG